GACGAACGCUGGCGGCGUGCUUAACACAUGCAAGUCGAACGGAAAGGCCCUGCUUUUGUGGGGUGCUCGAGUGGCGAACGGGUGAGUAACACGUGAGUAACCUGCCCUUGACUUUGGGAUAACUUCAGGAAACUGGGGCUAAUACCGGAUAGGAGCUCCUGCUGCAUGGUGGGGGUUGGAAAGUUUCGGCGGUUGGGGAUGGACUCGCGGCUUAUCAGCUUGUUGGUGGGGUAGUGGCUUACCAAGGCUUUGACGGGUAGCCGGCCUGAGAGGGUGACCGGCCAGAUUGGGACUGAGAUACGGCCCAGACUCCUGCGGGAGGCAGCAGUGGGGAAGAUUGCACAAUGGGCGGAAGCCUGAUGCAGCAACGCCGCGUGCGGGAUGACGGCCUUCGGGUUGUAAACCGAUUUCGCCUGUGACGAAGCGUGAGUGACGGUAAUGGGUAAAGAAGCAACGGCUAACUACGUG
rnacentral:rRNA from 1 species